AAUUCAUGUAUGAUUGUGGGCAAAGAAUUGAAAAUCCGUCCCAUUGAAUUUGCUCCAUUCCCUUUAGAGAAUGUGGUAGCAGUAUGUGGUAAGUCUGGAAGAAGACAAAAUUAUUACCAUGAAGGUAUCAAUGAACGUGGACGUGGCAAAGAAUUAAAAUUCCGUCCAAUUGAAUUUGCUCCAUUCCUUUUAGAGAAUGUGGUAGCAGUAUGUGAUAAGU
rnacentral:lncRNA from 1 species